AGGCAACCUACUUGUGCUUAAAGAAGAAUGAGAAGUAAGGUGUUAAUCUGCUCAUACAAUUACCUUUUGCUCUUCAGACUUGCUGAUUUAUUCUUUGAAGCUGGUCUAGUAAGCUCAAGAACAUG